rfam:Nelumbo nucifera unplaced genomic scaffold scaffold00053, whole genome shotgun sequence
GCCGAGCUUGGUAGCACAAGCUUGUAACUCUAGCGAGGGCACCAAGGUGGUUGAAUGUUUGUCCGAUUCAUACAGGCAGGAGCAGUCGGAGCUAAUUCGCUGGCACGCCCAUUCCAAGUAGGGAGUUGAACCAUGUGACUUGAACAAAAGCUUGGGUCAUAUGGCUCUUAGAGUGGAGGGCACCGCGUCAGGCUGGCUUCACAGAGCAGCGAAAACCUCCCGCUCCUAUCAGUGGAAGGACAACGAGCCAGUGCUUCCCUGUCCCAACAAUUGCCCGAUGAGUCGAGCCCAUUCGAACAAACACCUUU